UUUGAAGACCGGUAGUUUUUCAACACCUCAACCAACUCCACAGACCCUGCCCAGUACUAGCGUUGCCACUGGACCUGCUCUUCCUCAACACCUUCCUCCUGUGCAUCCAUAUUCCCAGCCCGGUCUUCCUUUGGGACACUUUGCUAACAUGAUUGGCUACCCUUUUUUACCUCAGAGCUAUACAUACAUGCCAUCUGCUUACCAGCAAGCAUUUGCUGGUAAUAGCACCUACCAUCAAUCUCUGGCAGCAGUUCUGCCUCAGUAUAAAAAUAGUGUUUCUGUCAGCAG
rnacentral:lncRNA from 1 species